UAACCUCUCCGGCUAGUGGUUAGGGCGUUCGCCUAAGAUGCGGGAGGUCGUGGGUUCGAUCCCCGGUCGAGUUAUACCAA